rnacentral:tRNA from 1 species
GGGAGCGUGGCAGCGUGGCUGGAUGCGGGCAGCGUUUGCGAUCCUUUGCGAAACUGGUCAAUGCGGAACCUCGUUCGCGGGCUUGAGUCCCGCCGCUCCCU